ACAUUGCUGGUCCAUGGAGACCCACUGCUUGACAUUCUGCUACAGUUUUUUGUUUGUUUGUUUGUUUGUUUUUCCUUUUUGUGCUUCCCCUACCAACUGCUUUCAUCUAUUGUCCUUCAUCUUACACUGCAAACGUAAAUUCCUGAGGGAAAGGCUGUCCUUUUCCCUCUGCUUUUACAGCACCUAGCCAAUGGCUCCUGGUUUAUGCCUGGAGCUCCCUGACACCACGUAAAUACAAAUAGCAACAAGAAAUAAGGGAACUCCUUACCACAUGUGUGUCAGGAAUGCAGAAACAUGGACAGGCAUCCAAGGAGAAAUAGAGAAGAAUUUCCUGAAUACACAGGACAGAAUUAAGAAGGCCAAUAAAUGGCUAGAGCUGUAAUUGAUGAAGGACAUCAAAGAUAACAGGAAAGGCUUCUACAGGCUAAAUUUGGCUUGGAAGACAUCAGUGAAUGAAAGUCUGUCCAGAACUUCAUGUCUCCUUGUUUAUGAGGACUCUCCACCUGUCAGACGAAGGAAUCAGAACACUUUGGUGUGUCACUUAAGUGCCAGUUUGUGGGAAGAGAGUCACUGGGAAGACCUCAACUUCAACCCACAAUCAAUUUCCAUUUCAGCACAGUAAUGGUGACACAAUUAAAAAUAGGAAGCUGACCCUCUGAAAAUGU